AAAGCCUCUAGCGAGGUGAGAGGUGCCCGUACCGCAAACCGACACAGGUAGGCGAGGAGAGAAUCCUAAGGUGAUCGAGAGAACUCUCGUUAAGGAACUCGGCAAAAUGACCCCGUAACUUCGGGAGAAGGGGUGCUCUGUUAGGGUGCAAGCCCGAGAGAGCCGCAGUGAAUAGGCCCAGGCGACUGUUUAGCAAAACACAGGUCUCUGCGAAGCCGCAAGGCGAAGUAUAGGGGCUGACGCCUGCCCGGUGCUGGAAGGUUAAGAGGAGCGCUUAGCGUAAGCGAAGGUGCGAAUUGAAGCCCCAGUAAACGGCGGCCGUAACUAUAACGGUCCUAAGGUAGCG
rnacentral:rRNA from 1 species